UACGUAGGGUGCAAGCGUUGUCCGGAAUUAUUGGGCGUAAAGAGCUUGUAGGCGGUUUGUCGCGUCUGCUGUGAAAAUCCGGGGCUCAACCCCGGACUUGCAGUGGGUACGGGCAGACUAGAGUGUGGUAGGGGAGACUGGAAUUCCUGGUGUAGCGGUGAAAUGCGCAGAUAUCGGGAGGAACACCAGUGGCGAAGGCGAUCACCUGGGGUUGUUCUGACGCUGAGGAGCGAAAGCUAGGGGAGCAAACGGG
rnacentral:rRNA from 1 species